rnacentral:ncRNA from 2 species
CAAACGUAUGAAAUAAUGACUCGUAUAAAACCGGGAAUAUGGCCCGGACGUUUCUACCCGAAUACCGUAAAUGUUCGGACUACGAGAGUAAACAGAUCGAUC